UACGAAGGGGGCUAGCGUUGCUCGGAAUUACUGGGCGUAAAGCGCACGUAGGCGGCUCUUUAAGUCGGGGGUGAAAGCCCAGGGCUUAACCCUGGAAUUGCCUUUAAGACUGCAUCGCUAGAAUCGUGGAGAGGUGAGUGGAAUUCCGAGUGUAGAGGUGAAAUUCGUAGAUAUUCGGAAGAACACCAGUGGCGAAGGCGACUCACUGGACACGUAUUGACGCUGAGGUGCGAAAGCGUGGGGAGCAAACAGG
rnacentral:rRNA from 1 species